rnacentral:lncRNA from 1 species
UGAUGCUGGUUCGCCACCGAUUCGUGUUCCAAAACUUGACAACAAAUUAGACAAAACAAAACAUAUGAAUUAUGCCGACAAGGCAGCCAUGUAAAUUCGUGAUAUAUGACAGAUUCUUAGCUUGUUGUCAUACUUUGUUGAGCAAUCGAGUACAUUUUGUCCCUACGAAUCCUAGCUUUCCAGGAGCACAGAUUUGCAGAACUUUUACUCAAAGUACCUUGCGUUAUUAUUCAGAAUAUGACCCUUGAGAAAUCAUAUACAUGGAUGCUAGAGCUGGCAUGACGACCAGGCAGGAAAGUAACAUAAGUAGAAAAAAGUAAAUGUUGCAUGCAUGUUUCCAACUAAGUGCACUUCCGAGAUUCCAGGGCAGAUAAAUAACAUUGAAAUCGAUACCACUACAGUGAGAUUUCAUCAGAUGCUACUCCCCAAAUAUACCGACCAUGUAGAUAUCCGCCAAACUGAAAUUGUGAGCAAUCAGAAGUAGCACCAAUUUUUCAGAAAAAUAAACUGAAACAGGGGUAGAACUGAGGGGGGCAAAUCAGUAACAUUCAUUAUACAGCAGUGCAAACAAAGGAAAAUCGGUUGAAUUCAUCGAUCAUACAGUGGUGUACCAACUACAGUAACAUCAAAAACAACUACUGUGAGGAACACAGGCACCACAAGUUCACAACCAAAGCAGCAGGGCUGUUUUUGAAGGGGGGUCAAGGUAUUACAUACUUCUGGUGACAAUCCAUUGAUGAGAUCGCUAUUGAUGCCUUCCUUAUAAGAUUAGUCUUGUUCAGUGUUUGUGGUCGUGAUAACAUGAAAAUACCAAAGUAAAAAAAACAGAAAAUUACCUCCGGUCUAUUGGGGCAAUUGACCGAACAGUUGGCAUGCAAACGGCUGUAGCAGUAGUGUUUCUCAAAGAAAUAAAAACCUACUAUGUAAUGCAAUGUAGCAAAAAUGGUCGGAAGGCGUCAGUCACUACCAAAUGUUUUUUUUCAGCAUGGUCGUUACUAAGUGCUUGUGCAAGGUUCCUGCACAAGGUUUAUGCUAGUAAUGCUUGCAAGUCUUUUGUGUUAUUCUAUCCACCACAAGUCUAGAACAGUGACAAUCACACAGAAAUAGGUGUUGAACCAUCCUUCGGUACAAUACAUAUUUCAUUAGAUUCAGAUCAGAUAAGUAACAAUGACAGACAACCAAAUAACACUUCUAAUUUAAUUAUGCAGACUAACCUGAAACUAUUUUUUAGAUGAGCUAACCUGAAAAUAUUAAGCAGACCUGAAACUAACCUGACAGGAAACAGAUAUGGGGUGGAGCUGAUGGCAUGGAGGUUGGGCCUGAACCUUCCUUGGAGGGAGAAGAUGACCUGACGAGCUCUCCUCACUCCGCCGCAGCCACGAGCGCGGCGUGGUGUGGCCGAUGUAGGAGAGGAGACGGGAUGGAGGUGGGGGAGCUGAUGCUUCUUCGAUCCGGCGCUCGACGGGAGAGGACAAAGGAGGACGGGGCUCCGCCUGCCGCGCCCAUCCUCGACUCCGCCGCCCUCUCCCUCCGCGGGAACGCCGUGAUCCGGGGCUUCGCCCGACAAGGGCCUCCCGUGCGGCGCUCUGGCCGCCUUCAACUAGGAAAACGGCGGCGGCGGCGGCCAACCCUAUUUCGCGAAAGAGAGAGAGACGUGGG